UGUAAUCCCGAAAGCAGCCGUGAUGAAGAAGUGAAUCACUUUAUUGGUCACCACGGCGCGGUUUGGAGUGGCUUCGAACUUGGCCCUCGUGUGACCGGCAGUUUCAUCAUCCCUGAAAGAGGAGUGGUCUUUUCCGUCUUCCCUCUCUGUCUCUCUCUCUCUCUCGCUCUCUACACUUCAGCAAUAGUCCGGAAUAGUGCAGAUAGCAUCCUGAUGAUGGUACGGCGUGAUGAACAGAUAGACAACACAACCAGCAAACGAAGCGAAAACCACAAACUCGUGAUGCACAACUCGCGGUAUGGGAAAUCUGCGCCUGACACAGAAAGCGUACCACCCAGC